GUUCAGGGUCCUUGCCCCACAUGACUGUGUUAGAAUUUCCUGUCAACCCUGUGUGACACAAAGAACUAAACCAUAUUAGAUUAUUUUGACUGGUUAGAAAAGCUAUGAAAUAAGACCUUUCCUUCACUUAUGUAACAUCCAUGUACAAUAUUCAUACCUGUUGAGCACAUGGCACAAAAUAGUACUGUAGUUUUUUAAAAAUAGAGUGACCCUAUUUUUUAAUCACUUCAAAAUCUUAUGGUUGAUUGCCUUCUUCCCCACUUUCUCUUUCAUCUGUUAGAUAUACAGUGGCCUUUCAAAGAAACUUGUGUAAAAAUAGAAAUGUGUUGGCAUCUUAGCAGUACAGUAGCUCAUGUUGACUGUCUCCUUUAAGAACUGGACAACAGAAAGUUACAUGAGGUUUCUGUGUCAGAGGCUGGUUUUUCCUUUUACAUUGUUAUGGAAUGUGAUAUCUUCUUGUGAGAGCAAGUGAGGAAGCAAUUUCACAUGACAUUUCUAGGAUGCCUGCUGCCCUUUGUCCAUGCCUUAGAACCAAACUCACCCAAUUGGAAGAAAUUUAGUUAAGAAUAAAUGAGUGAAUUGAAAACCAUUAGUCAUACAUGAAUUGAAAAAUUACUUAGAAACCCAUACUUUUCUUUAGUUAUAUCAUAUAACCAAAGUAAUAACUUACACUCUCAAAAAAUGUGAUGAACACAGUCUAAUUUUUUUUUUAACCAAAAUGGGCAGUGACAGGACUGUUAGAUACACUGGGAAACACAUUUUUUUUUAACCUAACCCACCGGAGAUAGGAUAUUUGGUAAAUAUGCCACAGACAUGGGUGUAUUAAUAAUUAUCUGAUUAUCUGUCCACUUUAUUGAUAGUGGAAAAAUCAAGUGGUUUGUGGUAUACUUUGCGAGUUUCAGCUGACCACUCAUUGCAAUAGAGAACUAUUAAUAUAUUAUUUCUCCAACAUCAGCAGGAUUCAUUCCCAUUUAACUUUUAAGUUAAUAGAUAUACUGUGUGAUAAGAAUCACUGCUCACAUUUUUAGUUGUAAUGGACAGUAGUGGGGUGAAUUGUAUCAAUAAAGAAGUCAAGCUGUUCUUAUAGAAGACAUUGAUUUGGUAUAAAUUGCCAUUUAGGAGUUUAGCUGCUGAAUACUAAAAUGUAGAUUUACUGAUAAGUAGGAGACCUUAUCAUUUAUUUGAAACCAAGUGACCUUCAAAAUUAAGCUUUCUCAGAUAUCCUCAUUUCUAGAAGAUAUCUAAUUUAUAGAGGUCUCAUGUAGAUGAGCUUUUGCAUGAAAAAUAUUGAAAAAUAUGUUCAAAGUAUCUGCAGAUCUGCUUUGUUGUCGUUUGUGAGGGUAGUUAGCAUGCCAGCCCCUGGAAUGGUCAUGAAAUGCUUGUCAAUCUCAAUAUUGAGCAAUAUGUUGUAGACAAAAAAGCAAAACCAAGUUUGGUUGCAUGUGACUAUAGCAUAAGUUUACUCCAAAUUGUUGAAUUCUGUGCCUCUGUAACUUGUGUCAGAGACUAACUCAGGAUAUAUAUUUUGCUUUUCUUUAUUUUAAAAUAUAUUCAAGUACUGGUUUUAUAUCUUAGUUUUAUGACAUUGGCAAAGUACCGUAGAUUCCAUUAUAUUCAUUUCCUUUAUCUGCAAGAUGGAAAUGUUACUUCUGAGGGAGAGGUGGGGAGUACUUUAUUAACCACUAAAUAAAUAUUCAUCCAUCUUCCUUUAUAUGGAUUUAAAACUAAAAAUUAUGCUUAAAAUAUUAGUUUACAACAAAUGUCUUUGGGAAGAAAGUUGACUACCUAGGAAUUAAGCAAUGAAGAUGCUUCUUUUCCUUAGCUUUUUUUCAUAUUUCUCUCACUGAACAAUGUUAUAGAUAGACUUAUAUAAAUACUAUGUGCAACAUACAAUGAAAUUGCUCCUUACAAAGAGUUUCUCUAUAUUUUAUUUGAGCUCAAUUAUAUUAUGCUACUCUAAUUAAC
rnacentral:lncRNA from 1 species